CGUCUAUAUACGUAUAGCAUAUCAAUAAGCGGAGGAAAAGAAACUAACUAGGAUUCCCUCAGUAACGGCGAGUGAAGCGGGAAGAGCUCAAAUUUGAAAUCUUCAAGGUUCUUACCUUGACGAAUUGUAGUUUAAAGAAGUGUUUUCUGUUGGAGUUUUGGUAAAAGUUCUUUGGAAAUAGGACAUCAUAGAGGGUGAGAAUCCCGUAUUUGACCAUUAUUUCCAGCUUUGUGAUACACAUUUCAAAGAGUCGGAUUGUUUGGGAAUGCAGUCCAAAAUGGGUGGUAAAUUUCAUCUAAAGCUAAAUAUUGGCGAGAGACCGAUAGCGAACAAGUACCGUGAGGGAAAGAUGAAAAGAACUUUGAAAAGAGAGUUAAACAGUACUGUGAAAUUGUCAAAAGGGAAGCGUUUGACACCAGUGUUGUUUUCUCGAAAAUCAAUUAAAAAAGGCCGGAUUUUGUGUUGUAUUGACUUUAUCAGCUUUCUGCACUCUUUUCUUGUCUUUUUUAAUGCACUUUUCGUUUAACAAGUCAACAUCAAUUUCUUUUGUUGUAAAAGGGUCAUUGGAAGGUGGCUUUCUUUUCGGAGAAAGUGUUUAUAGCCUUUGGCCUCUGCAAUCGGAGAGAUUGAGGUCUGCAGCGUAGAUCCUUCGGGGUUAGAUACAUUUGUGCUAAGUUAUAGCCUUUCAUAGACAACUUGUUGACUAUGAUCAGUCAUGUAGCUUACUCGCUUAUGCUAUUUUACCUACGCUUAGGAUGUUGAAGUCAUCGUAUCGCGC
rnacentral:rRNA from 1 species